rnacentral:rRNA from 1 species
GACGAACGCUGGCGGCGUGCUUCACACAUGCAAGUCGAACGAUGAACCCGGAGCUUGCUCCGGCGGAUUAGUGGCGAACGGGUGAGUAACACGUGAGUAACCUGCCCUUGACUCUGGGAUAACUGCUAGAAAUGGUAGCUAAUACCGGAUACGACCCUCGGUGGCAUCACCAGGGGGUGGAAAGAAUUUCGGUCAAGGAUGGACUCGCGGCCUAUCGGCUAGUUGGUGAGGUAACGGCUCACCAAGGCGACGACGGGUAGCCGGCCUGAGAGGGUGACCGGCCACACUGGGACUGAGACACGGCCCAGACUCCUACGGGAGGCAGCAGUGGGGAAUAUUGCACAAUGGGCGCAAGCCUGAUGCAGCAACGCCGCGUGAGGGAUGACGGCCUUCGGGUUGUAAACCUCUUUUAGUAGGGAAGAAGCGAAAGUGACGGUACCUGCAGAAAAAGCACCGGCUAACUACGUGCCAGCCGCCGCAGUAA